rnacentral:rRNA from 1 species
GAUGAACGCUGGCGGCGUGCCUAAUACAUGCAAGUCGAGCGAACGGACGAGAAGCUUGCUCUUCUGAUGUUAGCGGCGGACGGGUGAGUAACACGUGGAUAACCUACCUAUAAGACUGGGAUAACUUCGGGAAACCGGAGCUAAUACCGGAUAAUAUAUUGAACCGCAUGGUUCAAAAGUGAAAGACGGUUUUGCUGUCACUUAUAGAUGGAUCCGCGCUGCAUUAGCUAGUUGGUAAGGUAACGGCUUACCAAGGCAACGAUGCAUAGCCGACCUGAGAGGGUGAUCGGCCACACUGGAACUGAGACACGGUCCAGACUCCUACGGGAGGCAGCAGUAGGGAAUCUUCCGCAAUGGGCGAAAGCCUGACGGAGCAACGCCGCGUGAGUGAUGAAGGUCUUCGGAUCGUAAAACUCUGUUAUUAGGGAAGAACAUAUGUGUAAGUAACUGUGCACAUCUUGACGGUACCUAAUCAGAAAGCCACGGCUAACUACGUG